CGGUUGAUCCUGCCGGACCCUACUGCUAUCGGGGUGGGACUAAAACAUGCAAGUCGAGCGUCUCCCAACAUGUUGUGGAGGCGCGGCGUACGGCUCAGUAACACGUGGCCAACCUACCCUUAGGACGGGAACACCCCCGGGAAACCACGCACAGACCUUGACCACAUAAACACAAAUUCUCCAAAAAUCCAAAAACCCCAUAACACAAACAAACACUUCACUACACCGCCUUGCCGAUUUCUAAGCUGGCAAAGGCUAUCUCAAACUAACAAAAACCUACAUGCAACUUUCUAAGAAUAGAAACUUAAGGCUCUGGCGUAGCCCAAAACUGGGGUUAAUUCCCGAUAGGUGAAGAAGCCUGGAAUGGUUCUUCACCGAAAAAACGUUAGAGGCAUGCUCUCUAACGUUGCCUAAGGAUGGGGCCGCGGCCGAUCAGGUUGUUGGUGAGGUAACGGCUCACCAAGCCUAUAACCGGUACGGGCCGUGAGAGCGGGAGCCCGGAGAUGGGCACUGAGAUAAGGGCCCAGGCCCUACGGGGCGCAGCAGUUGCGAAAACUCGCCAAUGCACGAAAGUGCGAGCGGGCUACCCCGAGUGCCGUCCGCUGAGGACGGCUUUUCCCCGCUGUAAGGAGGCGGAGGAAUAAGGAGAGGGCAAGACUGGUGUCAGCCGCCGCGGUAAUACCAGCUCUCCGAGUGGUAGGGGUGAUUAUUGGGCCUAAAGCGUCCGUAGCCGGCCUAACAAGUCUUCCGUUAAAUCCAACAACCUAAUUGUUGGGCUGCGGAAGAUACUGUUAGGCUAGGAGGCGGGAGAGGCCGACGGUAUUCCCGGGGUAGGGGUGAAAUCCUAUAAUCCCGGGAGGACCACCAGUGGCGAAAGCUGUCGGCUAGAACGCGCUCGACGGUGAGGGACGAAAGCUGGGGGAGCGAACCGGAUUAGAUACCCGGGUAGUCCCAGCUGUAAACGAUGCGGGCUAGGUGUCGGGGUGGCUACGAGCCACCCCGGCGCCGCAGGGAAGCCAUUAAGCCCGCCGCCUGGGAAGUACGGCCGCAAGGCUGAAACUUAAAGGAAUUGGCGGGGGAGCAC
rnacentral:rRNA from 1 species